UACUAAGUGACUAAUGUUCGACACUAAUGUAUGUUAUACGGAAAUCUUUCGAUAAUACAAACAUGAUCCUUGUUACAGGAAUGAUCGUCACACAGAAGAAAGGGAUGCAGUGAUGCAGCUUGGGCCUGAAGCUCCGGAGCCUGAGUACCGGAUAGAGACAACACUAGAGGACAACACCACCGACAUCGACGUCCCCGAAGGCCUCUACGCCAGCGUUAACAAGUCCGGGAUCGUACGGCAGUCGUCGUCAAGCGGAAAUGAAGUAGGCACCAGCACCACCACCCUGAAAGACUGCACGGCACUCCUGUGAGGGACCAGAGCCCACAAGGCUGGCUGUCAGUGUCCAAAUGUCACGUACAUCAGUAAACAACAAACAUGGAAGAAACAACACUUAGCCACCACCGCCAACUUGGACCUGUAGCCGCUGACGUCGUCACUUUCCCUCCAGCUAUUGAGAAAAUAUCCGAUGGUCGUACAGCCGGGGACGUGCUGCAGGGUGGAGCUUAGUUUUCAGGAGAUAUUUUCAAAUUGUUAUCUUCCAUUUUAUACUCUUAUGUACAUAUGAAUGCCAUAUAAACGUGGGGUAUAUAACGUACCUGUUGAUUGUCAAUGUGGUUCCUAGAUACUUUACAUAUUCUCUGACAACACUGACUAUAGUCAUGUUCUUUUUACACUGGAAUAUUAACGCAUACAAGACGGGCGUCACAAUGUGCCAAAACGUGUACCGUUACUAUAUAGAAUAUCAACGUUCGCCCGUAGGAGAGGUGUUCAUCGAUAAUAGUAUACUUUGGAUCAGCAUUACAAGUAACUGAAAGAGCAAAUGAUAUAUGUUCUCCAUUAACACCAGACGGUGGAAACAACAAAAGUGUCCUCGUUUAAGUCGUGGGAGGCCCAAUGACGCAUAGUUUCCUCAGACGCAAUACAGAAAUACAGUCAAUGACAGAGUAUGUAUUUUGUUAUGAAGGUAUAAUAUAUUUCCGUUGUCGGCCAUGUCGGUCCAUCCUGUUGCUACGUUACUAAAUAUAUUCGUUAUACAAACGAUUGGACGUUUACACAGAUCUGAACAGUAUUUGUUGCAUGUGAUACGAUGUUGCAUUAAGCCUAUCUCUGAAGGUAAGCCUGUCUGUGACGGUAGUCCUGUCUGUGACGGUAAGCCUGUCUGUGACGGUACCCGUGUGUGACGGUAAGCCUGUCUGUGGCGGUAAGCCUGUCUGUGACGAUGGGACGUGUGUGAUACAGGGGAGGUACCUAUACUUUGCUGGGUAACAAGUAUUGUCAUAAUUGCCUGUACAGUUAAUAAACAGUGUGUGGCGUUGGUGACCAGACUGUUGACGUUUUUCGUACAGAUUGUCGACAGUUUGUUGUACAGAUUGUCUCCUGUUUGUGUACAGACUGUCUGCUGUUUGUGUACAGACUGUCUACUGUUUGUGUACAGAUUGUCUCUACUGUUUGUGUACAGAUUGUCUAUUGUUUGUGUACAGUUUGUUUACUGUUUAUGCACAAGCCUUCCCAACAAACAUGCGUACUGUCUACAUUUCGUACGAUGUUGAUUUUUGUACGUUUCCAUAUUGUACAUAUCAUUUUCAAAUAAACUAUGCAGUUUUUGUA